GAUGAACGCUAGCGGCAGGCCUAACACAUGCAAGUCGAAGGGCAGCACAGAAACAGCAAUGUUUUGGUGGCGACCGGCGGACGGGUGCGUAACGCGUAUGCAACCUACCUUUAACAGGGGGAUAACGGAGAGAAAUUUCCACUAAUACCCCAUAACAUCGAUCAAGGCAUCUUGAUUGGUUGAAAACUCCGGAGGUUAAAGAUGGGCAUGCGUUGUAUUAGGUAGUUGGUGAGGUAAUGGCUCACCAAGCCUACGAUACAUAGGGGGACUGAGAGGUUAGCCCCCCACACUGGUACUGAGACACGGACCAGACUCCUACGGGAGGCAGCAGUGAGGAAUAUUGGUCAAUGGGGGCAACCCUGAACCAGCCAUGCCGCGUGCAGGAAGACGGCUCUAUGAGUUGUAAACUGCUUUUAAACAGGGAUAAAGCACAGUAUGUAUACUGUGUUGAAGGUACUGUAAGAAUAAGGAUCUGCUAACUCCGUGCCAGCCGCCGCGGUAA
rnacentral:rRNA from 1 species